CUGAUAUUGAAAAAAUGACUAAAUUCACUGUUUUUGCUGUCUUCAUCAUCCUUAUUACAGGAGUGAUGGUAAUAGAGACUCAAGGAGUACGAACAUCAUGUGAUAAUGAAAUUUUACAUGAAAUUGACUGUGGUAUUGGCAAUUGUGCUGCUAUGUGCCUGACAAAAUUGAAUGGAACUGGCCAAUGCAUCCGAACAGGCGAAGACAAAUUGGUUUGUCUUUGCGUUUAUAAUUGUAGUGUUUGAAUGUUAUCUUUGUUCUCUUUCUAUAUCUUAUAAAUUA